GACGAAAGCUGGCGGCGUGCCUAAUACAUGCAAGUCGCACGCAGUGGGGACGGGUGAGUAACACGGGGGUAACCUCCCAUCAGAGGGGAUAACACUUGGAAACAGGUGCUAAAACGAUACUGAUGGAUGGACCCGCGGUGCAUUAUCUAGUUUGUGAGGUAACGGCUCCCAAAGGCCAUGAUGCAUAAUCGACCGUAUAGGGUGAGCGGCCACCCUGGGACUUGGACACGGCACAGACGCCUACGUGAGGAAGCAGUAUGGAAGCUUCGGCAAUGGACGAAAGUCUGACCGAGCAACGCCGCGUGAGUGAAGAAGGUUUUCGGAUCGUAAAACUCUGUUGUUAGUGAAGCGGUAUCUACCCAGAAAGCCACGGCUAACUACGUGCCAGGAGCCGCGUUAAUAC
rnacentral:rRNA from 1 species